CAUUAGAUGACUGAAAAGCAAGUAAUGGUCUCUUAAACCACAAUAUAGUAAAUUAGCAAUUACUUCUAAUGA
rnacentral:tRNA from 1 species